CCUACGGGGCGCACCAGUGGGGAAUAUUGCACAAUGGGCGCAAGCCUGAUGCAGCCAUGCCGCGUGUAUGAAGAAGGCCUUCGGGUUGUAAAGUACUUUCAGUCGGGAGGAAGGUGGUGAGCUUAAUACGCUCAUCAAUUGACGUUACCGGCAGAAGAAGCACCGGCUAACUCCGUGCCAGCAGCCGCGGGAAUACGGAGGGUGCAAGCGUUAAUCGGAAUUACUGGGCGUAAAGCGCACGCGGGCGGUUGAUUGAGUCAGAUGUGAAAUCCCCGGGCUUAACCCGGGAAUUGCAUCUGAUACUGGUCAGCUAGAGUCUUGUAGAGGGGGGUAGAAUUCCAUGUGUAGCGGUGAAAUGCGUAGAGAAGUGGAGGAAUACCGGUGGCGAAGGCGGCCCCCUGGACAAAGACUGACGCUCAGGUGCGAAAGCGUGGGGAGCAAACAGGAUUAGAUACCCUGGUAGUC
rnacentral:rRNA from 1 species